rfam:Oryza sativa (indica cultivar-group) chromosome 8, whole genome shotgun sequence.
AAAAAGACAAACUGUGGGUUCCCAUGCCAACAUUUGACUGUCUGUCUUAUAUGAUUUUUUUUAUAAUUAUUAUUUUUGUUGUUGUUAGAUGAUAAAACAUGAUUAAUACUUUAUGCGUGGCUUAUUUUUUUUAAUUUUUUUUAUAAUUUUUUUUAAAUAAGACAGAUGAUUAAACGUUAGACACGGAAACCAGGGUU